rfam:Schistosoma rodhaini strain Burundi genome assembly, scaffold: SROB_scaffold0000342
AUCCAGCUGAUGAACCCCGAAUUGGACGAAACGCGCGUCCUAGAU